CCCCCGCGAGCCACCAUGAACGCCGCCAGCAGCCCUAUGGUCACUCGGCCGGCAGCCUAAAACAGAGAACAAGGGGAAACGAAAAUAACCGAUCUGUAAAGAAGCAGAUCCAAAAUGGAGAAGAAAGGAAAAAUCCAAGAACUGGACAGAAAUGGAUUAAAAUGAACUGCCUGCGUUUCCUUUUUCUUGUUUUGCAGGAUGCCACCAGCAGAGAAGGGAGGAGGAGGAGGAAAUAGGGCAGAUCCGCCCGUUUCCGGCAUGUUUGCGGCGGCGCGUGGGUUCACGCGCCGCCACGAGUUCAGGCAGUUCCGACAGUGUCCUUCAAUGCAAUUUCUGGACUUUUAGGGACUGUUUUGUAAAAUUUAAAUUAAUUAAUGUAAUUUGUAUUUAUUUGUUUUGAAUUUAUUUUGUGUAAAGGUGAAUGUAAAAGAAAAGAAAAGAAAAAUAAUAAAAAAGAGAUGUAUGUGUGUGUUUGUAUUUUUUUAUGUAUGUUAUUGAAUUAAAAGAAAAGAAAAAGAAAAAGAAAGAAAUAUAUAAUAAAAGAUGCAUGUAUACAUUUGUUUAAUGAAUUGUUUUUUUGAUGAGACAACAAAGAAUAAAGAAGGAUUUAAUAUUUUGAUUGGAUCACGGUGUAGAAAUACAAACUUGUAUGGAAGUUGUACUUCUAAAAUCCGAUGAAAAAACAAAAUUUUUAAAACUUCUUUAACACAUCAAGUCCACGGAGCAGCUUACCUCAGGUAGGGUGCGUUAGGGGUGCUAACACCUUCCCUAACCACAAUCAGUCCCUUACCCGCAAAUCUCUGACCAUGACCAGUCCACCAGGGUUUCCUAGUAACCUCAAUUAAAUACUAGGUGGCGACUCCCAACGAACCAAUUCAAGCAAUACAAACAACGAGACAUAAAUCGCAAGCCGAUUGCCGCGCGCCGGAUUUUUCGACAUGCGACAGAAUGGCGACUCCGCUGGGGAGGUAUUGUUUCUGACAAUUUUGGACUAAGCUUUGUGUACUUGAUGUGUUUAAUUUUUGCCAUUUUUUUUCUUGCUUUAUUUUAUGCAUGCAUUUUUAGAAUUGUUUCAUGUAUCACUUGUAUUUAUUUUUGAAAGCACACACGAGCUUCUAAGUUAGGCGGGGAGUAGCAGUCUACCCCAUGACUUUCAGUCGGGGUUCAGAUUUGUGAAACAUCCAACUAUGAGCUGAGUGUUUACUUGGUAAUGGCGGUCACAUGGUGCCCCAACCAUUCCUUGUAAACUCCUAUACUGCCUUCACGUGAGGUAGUCACUGGGCAGUUCAUAGACCCUUUUUGAGACCAGGUAGAAAACCUACCCAUGUUCACACAAUGAAUAGAACCUGUCCUUAGGUUGUAUGUGCUAUCAUUUAUUUGCAUCGGGGCGAACCCUUCUUGAAGCAUCUUGAACUCAAGAUUUUUGGGUGACACAAUGGCCGUCACUCCGAAAAUUUUCAUUGUAGAGUUUGGGCAAAAAUCAUGAUUUUUGUUCCAUCAUACAAGAGUUACGACCAUGUUGUCACCCCUCGAAGGGCGAGUUCAUCAUAUAGACUUCAUGUUCAUAUAUUUGUCAUGCAUGCACCUGAAUAAAAAGUAGGUCCCCUUCGAGUCUACAACACCUGAUUUUGAGAGAAACAUUGGAGACGAAGAGCGUGCUCACCGUGAUGCCCAUUUCCAAGAAGAGUUAGAGUCUCUGAAAGCAAGCGUGGCUCGCCUCACUAGCUUACUCGAGCAUACACUUAGAAAUGCCUCUGGUGAAGGUCCUUCCAACCAACCUACUAUUUCUGUUCAGCCUCCAACAAUGGCUCAACCCGAAGAAACAAUGAGUGAACAUGGUCAAGAACCUCCACACAAUCCAACAUUUGUGCACUCAACGCCAUCAGCACCAGCCCCUGUAGUCAUAGAUCCAUUUGCCAAUGAGUCUCACAAGACCAAGUCAUCUGAUGGCAUUGGUCAAGAUAAAAUGGCGGCGUUGGAAGCUCAAAUCAGAGCCAUUGAAGGGGUAGAGUUGUACGAUCCAGUACGGGCAGCAGAAAUGUGUCUGGUCCCAAAUGUGGUUGUCCCAAAAAAGUUUCGUGUUCCUGAAUUCGUCAAAUAUACCGGAACGCAAUGCCCCAUGACUCAUCUCAAAUCCUACUGCAACAAAAUGGCAGAAGUAGUACAUGAUGAAAAACUACUGAUGCACUUUUUCCAAGAUAGCUUAAGUGGGACAGCCUUAAGUUGGUACAUGAGAUUGGACAACACAAAGAUUCAAAAAUGGAAAGACUUGGUGGAUGCUUUUGUCAAGCAAUACAAGUACAAUAUGGACAUUGCUCCUGAUAGAACCAGUCUGUCCAAUCUAGAGAAAAGGGACAAGGAAAGCAUAAGGGAAUAUGCUCAAAGAUGGAGAGACCUAGCUGCUCAAAUACAUCCUCCGCUCCUAGAUAAAGAGAUGGUCACUCUGUUCGCCAAUACACUCAAGGACCCAUACUACGAGCAUGUGAUGGGUAGUUCGGCCCAGCAAUUUACUGAUGCUGUGGCAGUAGCUGAGCGCAUUGAGCAAGGGGUAAAAAGUGGUAGAAUAUCUGUGCCCACUGAGAAAAGAGGCUUUGAGGGUAAAAUGAAAGAGGUCGACUAUGUUGAAGGUGGUUACAUGGGUAGGAAAAACCCAUUCCAAAACUACCACACUUCACCCCAAAUCGCCACAUCAAUUUCAACCCUUCAUUUCCUACCAGAAAACUUGAGUUUCAACCAAACACCAAAAAACCCAAGAACAAUUACCUCCAUUACCAUUGCCCUUAAAUGAGAUGUAUCAAAAGCUACUGAGCAUUGGGCGUAUAGCUCCUGAACCCUUGACACCUUUACAACCACCUUACCCCAAUUGGUACAAGCCCGACCUUACUUGCGAAUACCAUGCUGGCGCCGCGGGACAUAACAUUCAUACUUGCAGUGCCUUUAAGAAGAGGCUUAUGCAUCUGAUUAAAGUCGGAUGGGUCACCCUCGAAGGAACUCCAAACAUAACUUCGAACCCUCUACCCAAUCAUGCUUCAGGUAGUGGAUCGGUGAAUGCACUAGAGGCGGAAUGCUCUAGAAACCUCAAAGCACCAAUGGCAAGAGCAAGAUGUAAAGAAGGCAAUGUGAACUUUUGAGGAUAGAGGACAAAGUUCUGCUAUAGAAUGGGAAGAUGGAGCCUACCCAAUUAUUGCAUUUUGGCUUGAUCAUGUUUGUUUUAACCCGUUUUAGUCUUGUUGGCAAUUUGGCUCAUAAUGCCACAAGAUUUUCUUUGUUAAAUGAGCCUUUCCUGUUAAUAAAAUCAUAUGUUUUUCUGUGUUCAUGCAAAUAACAUACUGAGCACACCCUUCACUCAUAAAACCACUAAUUCUUUGGUGUUUUCUUUCCUCCCUUCAAAAACCCAUGUUUUCAUAAGGAUUUUGGGGAAUUCAAAGUUUAGUACAAAAACAGAAAUCAAGUUGAUGUUUGUCCGAAACAAACGAGUUCUGGAAAUUCAGGUGAUUCCUUAGAGAGGUAACCAUACACCUAGAAAACCAAAAAAAACACCAUGAAGUGACUCCAAAAGCUGAGUUUUGAUUGCAUGAAUAAUCACUCUGCAUACUCGCAUGAAAGCAAGGCUUACCGAUCCUAAAUGCAUGCAUUUGAGAUGAAGAAAGGCCAUCUUUGAUAAAUCUUUCACAAGGCUGAAAUAUAUCAUUUGCAGUCCCUUUUUGAGCCUAAUAAAUUUUUCUUGAAAAAUAACCUUGGCUAGGAUCACACCCUACACUAGGGGGCAAGUGCAAAAAAAUCUAUAAUGUUUGAAAGUGUCCAAAUAACUCUUGAGGGCAUGAAAAAGUCUUCAACGAUGAAAGUGCCCAAAAAAAUAUUGGGGGGCAUAAAAGAAAAUCCUCAAUCAUCAAAGGUGUCCAAUCAAAGCUAGGGGGCAUGAAGAAAAAUCCAAAGGAUCCAAAAUUUUGAGCAUAAAAAAAAAAAAAAGCUAAUGCAAUGAUGCUCAAAAUCAAAUGAAGAAAACAAAAACAAAGAGAAAGAGCCCAAGCCCAACACUGGGGGGCACCGUGGACCAUUUCUACAAAUCAAUUCCAAGGUCCAGAAAUGUAUGAACAAAAGAGUUUGGGAUAUAAGCACUAGUGAUCCUUAGUCUUAAAGUCCCUCAAACACCUUUUGAGCCUACAAAUAUCCUUUUCUUCAUAGCCAAUAGCCCAAGCCUACAUUACGUGCCUAAUCAAGCCCUUUCUGAUCAAAGGCAAGCAAUUUGGAUCGGUAGGCAGUGCUUUCUCAUGCGAAAUAAAAUCAUUAUUCAUGCAAAUAAAAUGAAUGCUUUCACCAACGGUUCUCAAUAACCCUCAAAUUGAAAUUUAAACCUUUUGUGACCAACAGAUGUCACUUGUGUUCUUCACAUUUUCACCAACGGUUCUCAAUAACCCUCAAAUUGAAAUUUCAACCUUUUGUGACCAACCAAAUGUCACUUCACCAAAAAUCAAAAAAAAAAGUUUUCAUCACUUCUGAAAACCUCUCCAUAGGAAUCACUUGAAUUUCUUUAGAAUGAGUUCGCUUUGAAUCGAUGUCAAAAUGAUUUCUGUGUCUGGAAUAGCUUUGAAAUUCCAAAAAUUCUGCAUGAAAACAACUCCUUGUCAAACCUUCCUUCACAUAGCCUCAUCCCCAAACCCGAUUGAAUACUUGGGGUAUGAUCAAGCUAGGGGGCAAUCAAAAACAUCUGGUAGAGCUGGCUCCAUGAUUCCCUUUCAAAGAAACUAUUGGGCAAAAUUGGAAACCCUUGAGAUAAAAGGGGCGAGAACAAAAAGAAUGACAUCAAGUCUUUCCUAGAGGCCAAGAUCGUAAGAUAUUUCUCGAGUAAGCAAGGGGGACAAAAGCCAUCAAAGCUUACUAUCAGAGACUCAAACUUUUGAGAAAAGGAGAACUCAUGAAGAAAAGGGACCUAUAUUUCUCAAGUAAGUAUACAUGCAUAUUGUUCAUGAUGCAUUACUUUCAUCCUUGACAGAUCGGUGUCUCACCAUCAUCUUUUUGAGCGGGUUGCUGAAGCCCUAACCCUCUUAGGUAGUGUGUUUUCCAACCCUACCUCUUUUGAGUGCUCCUUGAGCACUCACCCUUAGGUAGUGUGUUUUCUAACCCUACCUCCUUUUUUAGUGUGCCUUCGAGCCUAACCUCUUAGGUAGUGUGUUUUCAACCCUACCUCUUUUGAUGCUCCUUCGAGCCCUCACCUCUUAGGUAGUGUGUUUUCCAACCCUACCUCCUUUUAUGCUCCUUGAGCCCUCACCUUUAGGUAGUGUGUUUUCCAACCCUCCUCUUUUUGAGGCUCCUUCGAGCCCUCACCUCUUAGGUAGUGUGUUUUCAACCCUACCUCCUUUUAGUGCGCCUUUAGGCCCUCACCAUUUAGGUAGUGGUUUUCCAACCUUACCUCCUUUUAGCUCCUUAGCCCUCACCUUAGGAGUGUAUGUGUUUUCUAACCCUACCUCCUUCUUGAUUCGCUCCUUUGAGCCCUCACCACUUUAGGUAGUGCGUUUUCCAACCUUACCUCCUUUCGAAUGCUCCUUCGAGCCCUCACCUCUUAGGUAGUGUGUUUUCCAACCCUGCUCUCUUUUUGAGAGCUCCUUCGAGCCCUCACCUCUUGUGUAGUGUGCUUUCUAGCCUUAUUUACCUCCUUUAGAGUGCGCCUUGGAGCAUUCACCUCUAGCAUUCAUUGUAUGGGUGACCUAUGUCAUAACCCAAUUUUGGGUUAUUCCCUAAAUUUCACUUUUUUUAAAAUAAAAAAAAUAAAAAAUAAAAUAAAGGCUGGCACUGCGGAGAAAUCCAAUAAAAAAAGACUGCAAAAAUAGGCAAAAAUCGAAGGUCAAAUUAAAUGCAUAUUCGAAGGUCAAAUCAAAUGAUUAUUGGAUGAAUUUGCAUAAAAAUUAAGUCCAAUGACAUAAUUAAAUUUUUAAUGGGCCAAUUUGAUUUAAUCAUGGGCCAAAUUAAAUUUUUAAUUAUGUUUAAGAAUUAAUUUAGGUCUAAUUGAAGGAUAAUUAAGCAAGGACUUGAUUAUACUUUAAAUGGGUCAAAUUAAUUUGGGGCUUAAUUGGUGAAAAAAUUAAGUUUGGGAGCUUAAUUUGGACUGAAUUGAAAAAGAUUAAAAUUUUAAGAUCAAAUUUAAUUUUUACCAAGUCAAUUGACACACAAAAAAAUUGAGGGGACCGAUUUGGAAACCCGAAAAAAUGUUUUGCCUAUAAAUAGCAGUUUUUAACUCAUUUUGUGGGGGGUUCAUUUUGUAAUUUUAGGGGAAAGGAGAGAACCCUAAAACACUAAACUUUUCUUCUUCCCUGCUGAAAACAGCGCCCAGGGAGGCCCCCCCCUUUUUGGAAAUUUUUUCCUUCUUCUCCGAUGACAGCUGCCAAGCUCCCCUUUUAAUUUUUUUUCUCCUCAGCCCUUGCACAGCCGCCUGCACACAGAGCCGCUCUCACUUCUCCUAAAAAAAAAGGCUACGACGAAUACCCCUUUGCCUUGACAAAGCAAGUCAAGCCAUCACCAUUUCCACAUUUUCUCUCAUCUUCAAAGUCGAAACCAGAGAAGCCAAGGCAGCCCUCUUCCCGUCUCCUUAGUCUUCCUCUCGGCUAAAAAGCCAAAAUCAGCUGAAACCCAUACUCUCCCCUUUCUCCUUCCAGCCGACUUCCCCUCUGCAAAAAAAAAAAAAGUCACGGGGCCUCCCCUACCUUUCAAAAACCAGAGAAGACGCUGCUCACUUCCCUCUGUCAGAAACAAAGACAGACAUUUCCCCACCGUCAUCUCCAUUUUCCUUCCUUCUCCACAGCCCGGUCAUCAACACAGACCCACCAACAACACCACUCUCCUUUCCCCACGGAGAACCAGCCACAACUCUUCUUCCCCGCGGGUUUGAUUUAUUUUUCUCUUCUUUCCCAUAGCUUCCAGCUCCGGCGCCUUCCAGGUUCACGAUCUCCUCAGCCACGGCUGCUUCUCCUUCGGUUUCCCUCCACAGCAGCGACGGGCCGAACAGAUUCAGCGCCGGGGCAACGCUGGCAUCAUCUCCUUUCAACCGGUGGCAGAACACACGAUUUCCUCUUCCAUCGCAGCAAUUCCCCCGCGAGCCACCAUGAACGCCGCCAGCAGCCCUAUGGUCACUCGGCCGGCAGCCUAAACAGAGAACAAGGGGAAACGAAAAUAACCGAUCUGUAAAGAAGCAGAUCCAAAAUGGAGAAGAAAGGAAAAAUCCAAAACUGGACAGAAAUGGAUUAAAAUGAACUGCCUGCGUUUCCUUUUUUCUUGUUUUGCAGGAUGCCACCACCAAGAAAGGGAGGAGGAGGAGGAAAUAGGGCAGAUCGCCCGUUUCCGGCAUGUUUGCGGCGGCGCGUGGGUUCACGCGCCGCCACGAGUUCAGGCAGUUCCGACAGUGUCCUUCAAUGCAAUUUCUGGACUUUUAGGGACUGUUUUGUAAAAUUUAAAUUAAUUAAUUGUUAAUUUGUAUUUAUUUGUUUGAAUUUAUUUGUGUAAAGGUGAAUGUAAAAGAAAAGAAAAGAAAAAUAAUAAAAAAGAGAUGUAUGUGUGUGUUUGUAUUUUUUUAUGUAUGUUAUUGAAUUAAAAGAAAA
rnacentral:lncRNA from 1 species